UACGUAGGGUGCAAGCGUUGUCCGGAAUUAUUGGGCGUAAAGAGCUCGUAGGCGGUGUGUCACGUCGGCCGUGAAAACCUGCAGCUUAACUGUGGGCGUGCGGUCGAUACGGGCAUCACUGGAGUUCGGCAGGGGAGACUGGAAUUCCUGGUGUAGCGGUGAAAUGCGCAGAUAUCAGGAGGAACACCGGUGGCGAAGGCGGGUCUCUGGGCCGAUACUGACGCUGAGGAGCGAAAGCGUGGGGAGCAAACAGA
rnacentral:rRNA from 1 species